GUUGCCCUUGGUUUGGAAAUGCUAAAGCUGUGUUGCCUAAUUAAAGUUUUGCCUUGCCUUCUAUAUAAUUAAAAGUCUAAUCUUCACCAAUUUCUGUUUGCGCUUUACAUCGAUUUUUAGAAAAAAACGCUACCACGUACGGCUGUGAUUUUUGGCCAUCUUACUCAGAGUCCCCCUCCGCUCAUCAGGUGCCAAGGAUUUUUCCCAUCGAUG